rnacentral:rRNA from 1 species
UACGUAGGGUGCGAGCGUUGUCCGGAAUUAUUGGGCGUAAAGAGCUCGUAGGCGGUUUGUCGCGUCUGCUGUGAAAACUGGAGGCUCAACCUCCAGCCUGCAGUGGGUACGGGCAGACUAGAGUGCGGUAGGGGUGACUGGAAUUCCUGGUGUAGCGGUGGAAUGCGCAGAUAUCAGGAGGAACACCGAUGGCGAAGGCAGGUCACUGGGCCGCAACUGACGCUGAGGAGCGAAAGCAUGGGGGAGCGAACAGG